AACUUGCACAGGCUGUUGCUGGUCUCCCUUGCGAGAGGGGGGCAUGUGCACGCUUGUCAUCUUUAUCUCUCCAACUGUGCACAUAUUGUAGACCUGGAGUUGUCUUUGUUGAUUCAUUCGAGUUGGCACUGCAGUGCUUCUUACAAACAAAAAAAAAAGUCUGCUCUGCCUUUUGCAUUUCCAGGUCUAUGUCAUUUUCACAACCUCAAUGUGUUUAGAAUGUUGAAUCAGGUCCUUUUUGUACCUAUAAAGUUAAAUAUACAACUUUCAGCAACGGAUCUCUUGGCUCUCGCAUCGAUGAAGAACGCAGCGAAAUGCGAUAAGUAAUGUGAAUUGCAGAAUUCAGUGAAUCAUCGAAUCUUUGAACGCAUCUUGCGCUCCUUGGUAUUCCGAGGAGCAUGCCUGUUUGAGUGUCAUUUCAAGUUCUCAACCGCAUCAAUUUCUCAUUGAUGUGGCUUGGAUGUGGGGGAUUGCAGGCUUCUGUCAAAGGAGGUCGGCUCCCCUGAAAAACAUUAGUGGUAUCUGAGCAGAAGAAACUACUACAGGUGUGAUAAUUAUCUAUGCCUUUCAGUAUGCUGCAUAAAAACAGACUGCACUGCUUCUAACUAGUGAAAACCUCUCUACAAAGGAGGGGCCACGUUUGACGAAUUUGACCUCAAAUCAGGGAGGACUACCCGCUGAACUUAAGCAUACCAAUAGCGGAAGAAAAAGAAACUAACAGGAAUUCCCCUAGUAACUGCGAGUGAAGCGGGAAAAGCUCAAAUUUGAAAUCUGGCGGUUUUUUGACUGUCCGAGUUGUAAUCUAGAGAAGUGUUACCUGUGCUGAACCGUGUACAAGUCUUCUGGAAUGGAGCAUCAUAGAGGGUGAGAAUCCCGUCUUUGACAUGGACUACCAGUACAUUAUGGUGCGCUCUCGAAGAGUCGAGUUGUUUGGGAAUGCAGCUCAAAAUGGGUGGUAAAUGCCAUCUAAAGCUAAAUAUUGGCGAGAGA
rnacentral:rRNA from 1 species